rnacentral:lncRNA from 1 species
CUGCAUUCUAUAAACAUGAAAACAAAAUAAAAAGAUUGUGUAGAUAAGUGUGCUUUAUUUAUCUGCUAAGUCUCAAUCUCUGGAAAAAUAAAAAGACCAAAAAGAUGCAUGAUGGAAAUGAUGAAUAGCUGCUCUGUUUGCUUACUUUCAAGUACCUAGCUUUUAUACUAGAGUUCUUCCAGGAAUUAUUAAAACUGAAAUUACUAUCUUUGGGAAGCAUAAAACUAAAGUCUAGGAAGGACAAAGGCAUAAUAUAAAGUUGAGCUACUGUUUAUCUUGUUCCUACUACACUAAGUUCUGGAGAUUUAUUUUGAAAACUUGCAAAUCACAUGAUGAGUUCCUAGCAUAACAAAACUACCUACCACAGCCAUACUUGCUAUAACAUCUUUUACUAUAUUUACAUUGAGUUUGAUCGAGCUGUGUAGACGCUUAGGAGCUUUUCAUGUGGUUAAAUUAAGAUAUUCACUUGCACACAUCUACUACACCAUCCAUCACCACUCAUUAAAAUUGCUAAAAAUAUUAUCACUCACUGUCCCAAAUAUUGUUAUUCUCUCUCUCUAAAAAGAUUCAAUGCAGAAGAGGCAUGGGUUAUGCAAAAAUAUGCGAGGAAAUAAAAAGGGGAAAGUGCCCGGAACCUCGAAAAAGAAAGAAAAAGAGUGAGACGAGAGGUAAAAUGGACAAGUGUCCGGAGUAGAAUUAGGGGUACAAAGAUGCCCACUUGAGCGGAAAAAAUAGACAAGUGUCCGACAGUAGAAUUAGGGGUAUCUACUACCCAUCUAAAAAAAAGAAGAGAAAAUAAAAAGAUAGCCCAUGUUCUCCCAAAGCAAAGAUCAAAGAAGAGGAGAGAUAGCAAUAUGAGGAGCAAUGAGAACUAAGUUUUAUUAUCACUUAUACAUUUUCACUAUCACUAUCAUCUACUCCACCACACAUGCACAUCUUGAUUUAAUUAUAUGUUGAGUUCCUUUGGAGCCAUGGCUCGAUUAGACAACAUAUGUAUAAGCUGUUUCUCACGCCUAUGAGCUCCACUUAAAUAUUCCAUUAGAUAUAGGUAAGUGACAUUAUGGUAAGGAUCCACAAAUACCACAUAUAGAGAGACUUGAGAGAAUCAUUGCUGGGAACUCUGAGUUUUAUUUUGUAAACUUAUGAAAAACUCUGGAACAAAGGUGAAGUAUAAAUAGGAGGAAUAGUGCUUGGCUUAACUAUUUUGUCUUUCAAUUACUUAAGAUUUAAGUGC